UACAGAGGGGGCAAGCGUUGUUCGGAAUUACUGGGCGUAAAGGGCGCGUAGGCGGCCUGUUAAGUCGAACGUGAAAUCCCCGGGCUCAACCCGGGAACUGCGUCCGAUACUGGCAGGCUUGAAUCCGGGAGAGGGAUGCGGAAUUCCAGGUGUAGCGGUGAAAUGCGUAGAUAUCUGGAGGAACACCGGUGGCGAAGGGCG
rnacentral:rRNA from 1 species